GCCGGGCGUGGUGGUGUGUGCCUGUAAUCCCAGCUACUUGGGAGGCUGAGGCAGGAGAAUAGCUUGAACCCGGGAGGCAGAGGUUGCAGUGAGCCGAGAUCGUGCCACUGCACUCCAGCCUGGGUGACAGAGCGAGACUCCGUCUGAAAAGGCAAAAAAAAAGAAAUUGAAACUCAUAUUAAAAGUUUCUUUUUCUUUCUUUUUUUUUUUUUUUGAGGCAGAGUCUUACUCUUGUCGCUCAGGCUGGAAUGCAGUGGCUCAAUCUCGGCUCACUGCAACCUCUGCCUCUCGGGUUCAAGUGAUUAUCCUGCCUCAG
rfam:Homo sapiens chromosome 14, GRCh38 reference primary assembly.